UUCAAGCUUCAUUCGCCACCCAACCACAUGUUGUGACCCCACUCAUCUCCUUUUCUCCUUUUUUUUCUCUUUCAAACCUCAUCAGCUUCACACACUUUCACACUGCACUGCAUUUUCAAAAAGACAGACAGAGACCUCGGUGAAAUCGAACAGCCCUAGCCUUUGCAGCCGGUGGUGAUGUCGGCUCCACCUCCGGUAUCCAACUCCACCUCUCCGCCAUCUCCUCCUCCUCCUCUGGCCACCAACGCCACCUCUCCUCCGCCGUCUACCACCAAUGCUACAACUCCUCCGCCGUCUACCACCAAUGCUACAACUCCUCUGCCGCCGCUUCCGUCGACCACCAUCAACACAACUUUAAGCCCUCCGCUCCCUGGGCCGCCGGAGCCGCCGAAAGGUGGAUUGCAGACGGGGGCGCUGGUGGGGCUGAUAGUUGGAAUAGGGAUCGGAGGGUUAAUUGUGCUGAUUGGCGUGGGUAUUUUCGUAAUUUGCUAUAGAGCAAAGAAUCGGAGGAGACAGGACGGUGAUGGUGGUCCUUCACCACCACAACCACAAGUACCUAAAACUAAAAAUGAGCAUUGGCAACAAAAUUCCCUGCCACCAAAAGAUGAUAAAGUAACAUUGUUUCCCAAGCCAACUCCUCCCCCGGGAGCUGUCCAUAGCCCCGAAAUGGUGCAAGUCACCACUCCCCCUGCAUCUUCUUUUACGACUAGUAGUAUGGACUCUGAUAAACCAUUGCCACCACGAUCCCCUGGCUACACCGCAGGUCUUUCACAGGGUACAUUUUCAUCUGAAGAAUUAGCCAUGGCAACUAAUGGUUUCUCCAAUAACAACCUCCUUGGUCAGGGUGGUUUUGGUUACGUGCAUAAAGGAGUCCUUCCAAAUGGGAAAGUGGUUGCAGUGAAGCAGUUGAAAGCUGGCAGUGGACAGGGGGAGCGUGAAUUUAGGGCAGAGGUUGAGGUCAUUGGCCGUGUCCAUCACAAACACCUUGUUUCACUGGUUGGAUUCUGCAUUUCUGGGGCACAGAGAAUGCUUGUUUAUGAGUUUGUCUCAAACUACACGUUGGAUUUUCAUCUACAUGGAAAAGGGAGACCAACUAUGAACUGGCCAACCAGAAUGAAAAUAGCUCUAGGCUCUGCCAGAGGAUUGGCAUAUCUGCAUGAGGACUGCCAGCCUAAGAUCAUACACCGUGACAUCAAGGCAGCUAAUAUUCUCAUUGACGAUAAUUUUGAUGCAAAGGUUGCAGAUUUUGGGCUUGCUAAGAUUUCAUUAGAGACUGAUACUCAUGUCUCCACCCGAGUAAUGGGAACUUUUGGUUACUUGGCUCCAGAAUAUGCUGCUAGUGGAAAGCUCACUGAUAAGUCAGAUGUUUACUCCUUCGGGGUUGUGCUUUUAGAGUUGAUUACUGGACGCCAUCCUAUCGAUAAAACUAAUUCCUUCACCGAAGAUAGCAUGGUUGAGUGGGUAUGUGUGUGCAUGGGGGGCAGGGGUUUAUUCUUUCAUGGUGUUCUAUUCUUUGUGUUUGUAGGCAAGGCCUUUGCUCUCACAAGCUUUGGAAAGUGGCAACUUUGAUGCUGUCGUUGAUCAAAGGUUGCAAAAUGAUUACAACUCUAGUGAAAUGGUUCGAAUGGUGGCUUGUGCUGCUGCUUGCGUGUGUCAUUCAUCCCGGCAUCGGCCAAGAAUGAGCCAGAUAGUUCGAGCUUUGGAAGGAAAUCUUUCUCUAGAUGAACUAAAUGAGGGAAUCAGACCUGGGCACAGCAGAACAUUUGAUUCCUUUGGGAGUGCAGAUUAUGAUAAUGGCCAAUAUAAGGAGGACUUGAAAAAAUUCAGAAAGAUGGCACUGGAAACCCAAGGGCUAGCCACUACUGUGGAGUACAGCGUACCUAGCAGCGAGUCUGUGGUGCAGCAAUCUGGCUCAAGCAGUGAAGGCCAACAAACUACCCAAGAGGUAGAAUUGGGAAAAGUUAAAAAUGAUGCCCAAGAUUUUGAUUAAAUCUUUUGCUUGGUGAUUCCAAUUUUCUUGUAAAUUCACCUACUUUUCCUGUCCUACCCGUGCGGAAAUUUAUAAAAUUAUCAUGCCCUGGCCGGGCAUGAGAAACAAGCGUAGUACCCAGCCAUUUGACAGUAUUAGUUGAUUUUUUGGUACAGAAAACCUGCUUGAGGCAGAAUAGUUGUCCUAGUGGAAUAUUUAUUCAUCAAAAUCUUCAAGGUUCUGACACCAUUUUCUAGUGGCUUGGAUGGUUUGAGAUCUUGCAAUGUAGAGAAUUUCUUACUGAUACUCAAAAGGGUGCAAACUAAUUGUGAGUGGUGUAACUUGGUCAGCAUAGCUUAUUGGAGUAGUAGGGACCAAGUAGAAAUUUGUCCAAUUCCUAUAGGAUCCAUGUGCAAGUGGGGAUAGGGCUAGGCAGCGUGAAAUGCGUUUAUUUUUUCAUGUGAUGGGAAAAUGAGAGCUAUUAAAUCAGCAAGUGGUUUGUAAUUAUGCGAAUUUUUUGAUAAUGAACAACGAAAUUUCAUUCAGUUUGGUCAAA